rnacentral:rRNA from 1 species
GUGAGGAAUAUUGGACAAUGGGCGCAAGCCUGAUCCAGCCAUGCCGCGUGCAGGAAGACGCAUCUAUGGUGUGUAAACUGCUUUUGUACGGGAAGAAACACUCCCUCGUGAGGGAGCUUGACGGUACGGUAAGAAUAAGGAUCGGCUAACUCCGUGCCAGCAGCCGCGGUAAUACGGAGGAUCCAAGCGUUAGCCGGAAUCAUUGGGUUUAAAGGGUCCGUAGGCGGUUUAAUAAGUCAGUGGUGAAAGCCCAUCGCUCAACGAUGGAACGGCCAUUGAUACUGUUAGACUUGAAUUACAAGGAAGUAACUAGAAUAUGUAGUGUAGCGGUGAAAUGCUUAGAUAUUACAUGGAAUACCAAUUGCGAAGGCAGGUUACUACUUGUGGAUUGACGCUGAUGGACGAAAGCGUGGGGAGCGAACAGGAUUAGAAACCCGGGUAGUCC